rnacentral:rRNA from 1 species
AGCAUAUCAAUAAGCGGAGGAAAAGAAACCAACAGGGAUUGCCUCAGUAACGGCGAGUGAAGCGGCAACAGCUCAAAUUUGAAAUCUGGCCCCCCGGGUCCGAGUUGUAAUUUGCAGAGGAUGCUUUUGGUGAAGUGCUUUCCGAGUCCCUUGGAACAGGGCGCCAUAGAGGGUGAGAGCCCCGUCUGGUCAUGCACUGAGCCUCUGUAAAGCUCCUUCGACGAGUCGAGUAGUUUGGGAAUGCUGCUCUAAAUGGGAGGUGUAUGUCUUCUAAAGCUAAAUACCGGCCAGAGACCGAUAGCGCACAAGUAGAGUGAUCGAAAGAUGAAAAGUACUCUGAAGAGAGAGUUAAAUAGCACGUGAAAUUGUUAAAGGGGAAGCGUUUAUGACCAGACUUGAGGCCGGCCGAUCAUCCAGCGUUCUCGCUGGUGCACUCGGUCGGUUUUAGGCCAGCAUCGGCUCGCGUUGGGGGAUAAAGGCUUCGGGAAAGUAGCUCCUUCGGGAGUGUUAUAGACCGUUGCGUAAUACCCUGGGGCGGACCGAGGAACGCGCUUCGGCACGGAUGCUGGCGUAAUGGUCACCAACGACCCGUC